rnacentral:lncRNA from 1 species
UUUUGUAACAGCUAAUAUUUAUCAUAAGGCAGUCUUGGACCUCAUGGUGAAUACUGAUAGCAAAUCUAUCUUCAAGAGCAAUGGAUACAAGAAACAUGAUGCUAGUUUUAAGUAUACUGACGUUACCAAGUGCUCCCAUGCUGUUAGUUUAAGUGUGUUUUGCAUGUAACUGGCAUAGGGCUCAGAAGCUUCCUGGGAUAAAUCUUUACCCAAGAGCACUUCAAAGACUUUGAGCCUCCUUCUUAAGCUGCAUUGUAAGCAAUUGUUCCUGUAACUAAGAAACCAUGGCUAUGCUGAAUGCCACUGGAUUUUGCCUCUGAAAAAAGGAGUUUGCCUACAGUCCUGGGGCAGAAAUUUGCACUCUUUUGUCUAGGAUAGUUAGAUUUGGGGGCUUAUGUUUGAAGAGCAGUCAACAGAGAGACUUCCAGAUGGUUAUGAUCCUCUUUCUUCUGUUGGAGAAGAAGAAGCAGAGGCACAGGGCAGUGAGAUGGAGAACAGGGUGGAAGAACAGCAGGAGCAAGGUGCCAUGUUUUUACUACACAACUGAAGCAAGAUCACUUGAUCCUUCUGCCACAGCUUAGAUAGAUUUAAUUUCUUUGUUGCUCUGCUGUGUCUAGUUUUACCUGUAAUGCGCAGAGGCUAGAGCUGCUUCUAUAGCAGUGUUGUUUGAUGAGUUGGCCUUAGUUCUAGCAAUAGCAAGUUGAAGUCUGAAUUUCAAUUCUGAAAAAAAAGUUGGCUGGAUUUUCAAAGGAGUCUCCAAAGUGACAGACCCAAGUUCCUGGUAUGGUUUUUCUUUAUCUAUAUUUUAGCUAAAUUCGCCUUCAUCCUUUACACUCUGUUUUCCACAAAUGGAAAUCAGAAAGAUACUUCCAAAUUUUCUUACCUGUAAGAUGAAAACCCUUCAGUGAGCUUUGGACUGAACCCUGGGGAACAGCAUCUUGAACGAACGAGGCUCUGCUUGUCGACCUGGUCUGUGUUGCCAGCACUGCACUGUCUUAAUCCUGACUCCCUCCAAGUACUGCUGGGGACCUCAGGCAGGGUGGGAGAGGCAGUGCCUUGGCUCUUCCCUGAAACAAAAUACCUUUGUCAUACAGUUUGAGCUACAUGUACCCAGAGCCAGUGCCAGAGAAGCGACUCUGUGUCCAUAUACCUGAGCCUGUAGUAGCGUGGAGUAGGACAAGGUUGUGAAGUGGGAGGACCUUCCCACUUGUGUGGAAGGAAGGCUGUCUGCCUCUUGAAUUGGCAAGUGCAGCCUUCCUUAAGACAACUCUCCUUAAG